CCUGCCCAGCUCCCUCGUUAGGUCUAGGCAUUUUAAUCAAAUUAUCUGCUUCCCUGACUAUUCCUGGACUACAGCCACACCUCAUUGUUGCCCUUCUUCCCAACCCAAAGCCUCCUUCUUCAGGAUCUGCGCCUUAUCAACCAAAUUGUUUUGCCUAUUCACCCUGUGGUGCCCAAACCGUACACUCUCCUAUCCUCAAUACCUCCCUCCACAACCCAUUAUUCUGUUCUGGACCUCUU
rnacentral:lncRNA from 1 species